UGGGGAAUAUUGGACAAUGGGGGAAACCCUGAUCCAGCAAUGCCGCGUGGGUGAUGAAGGCCUUCGGGUUGUAAAGCCCUUUUGGCGGGGACGAUGAUGACGGUACCCGCAGAAGAAGUCCCGGCUAACUUCGUGCCAGCAGCCGCGGUAAUACGAAGGGGGCUAGCGUUGUUCGGAAUUACUGGGCGUAAAGGGCGCGUAGGCGGCUUCGAUAGUCGGGUGUGAAAUGCCUGGGCUCAACCCAGGAAUUGCACUCGAAACUCCGAGGCUUGAGUGUGGGAGAGGUUGGUGGAAUUCCCAGUGUAGAGGUGAAAUUCGUAGAUAUUGGGAAGAACACCGGUGGCGAAGGCGGCCAACUGGACCACAACUGACGCUGAGGCGCGAAAGCGUGGGGAGCAAAC
rnacentral:rRNA from 1 species